rnacentral:sRNA from 1 species
GUAUGUGUGUGUUUUCCUGUUCACAUGUGCACACAUAUGUAUGCAUGGAGACCAGACGACUGUUGAAACCCAGAGAGCUAGAGUUACAGACAGAGUUGCAUAAUAUGGGUGCUUGAAUUCAAACUCCCGUCAACAACACAGGUAACCUCCGCAACAACACAGGUAACCUCCACAACAACACAGGUAACCUCCACAACAACACAGGUAACCUCCACAACAACACAGGUAACCUCCACAACAACACAGGUAACCUCCACAACAACACAGGUAACCUCCACAACACAGGUAACCUCCACAACACAGGUAACCUUCACAACAACACAGGUAACCUUCACAACAACACAGGUAACCUCCACAACACAGGUAACCUUCACAACAACACAGGUAACCUCCACAACACAGGUAACCUCCACAACACAGGUAACCUCCACAACAACACAGGUAACCUCCACAACACAGGUGACCUCCACAACACAGGUAACCUCUGCAACACAGGUAACCUCCACAAUAAUACAGGUAACCUCCACAACAACACAGGUAACCUCCACAACACAGGUAACCUCCACAACAACACAGGUGACCUCCACAACAACACAGGUAACCUCCACAACAACACAGGUAACCUCCACAUCACAGGUAACCUCCACAACAACACAGGUAACCUCCACAACAACACAGGUAACCUCCACAUCACAGGUAACCUCCACAACACAGAUAAGCACUAAGCCAUGUGAACUGAAUCUGAACUAAAAUCCUAUUACAGAUUUAACAAAAUUCUGCUCAAAAGGCCCUCUAACUAACUCACAAUAAUACUGCCAUUUUCUCAUCCCUCUGAGGGUUUCUAGGCCUUCUAUAACACAAGCUACAAGUACCUUAAUCCAGACACGUUCUCUGUUCAUAUGUGGGGCAUAUCUCAUAGCUUCUGAUACAUUAGCUAAAUUUAUCAUAGCUUCUACUAGCCCACACCUUUUAAAAAUUUUUCCGUUCUGAUAACUUUUCAAAACCACUUUACAUAAAGAGUUUAAACUUGGAUUUGUCCUGAAAAUACCUAUCUGCAGAGCUUGAAGUGAUAACGGUAGUGAAUCUCUUUCUUCCCCAUGAUAACUAAGGAGGUGCCUGGGAUGACAGAUACAGAAAUGACCUGCUUUCCUCUGCUUUCUCUUAACUGAAUAAGAGGCACUGCUAUCAAAAAAGACUUCGAGUACUCUGCAGGAGCCAGCAUGAUGACCCCAUGGGUGAAGGGAUUUGCUUGCUGUCAGCCAAGCCUGACAAUCUGGUGAAAACCCUAGAACUCACUAGGUAGAAGAAAAGGCUACUGUCCAGAUCCUAUGUGUGUCACAGGCAUGCACAUACAAACUAAACAAAACAGGAAAGGAAGGGGUCAGAGGGUGCUUAGCACAGGAAAACGUUAGCCUUUCGGUAUCAAAACCUGGGUUCCAACGCAGAAACUACAUGAUGGAAAGAGAAGCCACUUUCUGCAAGUUUUCUUCUGAUACUCACAUGUGUCACAGCAGAUACAUGUAUGGUAUAACUCUGUCUGUCUCUGUCUCUGUCUGUCUGUCUGUCUGUCUGUCUGUCUGUCUCUCUCUCUCUCU